GGAAGUACUGCCUGGUAGUGGGGGACGAACGUUUCGAAGGAACGCUAAUACCGCCAUACGUCCUACGGAGAAAGCAGGGACCUUCGGGCCUUGCGCUAUCAGAUGAGCCUAGGUCGGAUUAGCUAGUUGGUGAGGUAAUGGCUCACCAAGGCGACGAUCCGUAACUGGUCUGAGAGGAUGAUCAGUCACACUGGGACUGAGACACGGUCCAGACUCCUACGGGAGGCAGCAGAG
rnacentral:rRNA from 1 species